rnacentral:rRNA from 1 species
UACGUAGGGUGCGAGCGUUAAUCGGAAUUACUGGGCGUAAAGCGUGCGCAGGCGGUUUUGUAAGCCAGAUGUGAAAUCCCCGGGCUUAACCUGGGAAUGGCAUUUGGGACUGCAAGGCUGGAGUGUGGCAGAGGAGACUGGAAUUCCCGGUGUAGCAGUGAAAUGCGUAGAUAUCAGGAGGAACACCCAUGGCGAAGGCAGCAAACUGGGCAUCAACUGACGCUGAGGCGCGAAAGCGUGGGUAGCAAACAGG